GAAUUCAACUUCUACGGGAGGCAGCAGUGGGGAAUCUUGCACAAUGGGGGAAACCCUGAUGCAGCGACGCCGCGUGAGCGAUGAAGGUUUUCGAAUCGUAAAGCUCAGUCCUAUGGGAAGAUAAUGACGGUACCAUAGGAGGAAGCCCCGGCUAACUACGUGCCAGCAGCCGCGGUAAUACGGAGGGGGCGAGCGUUGCCCGGAAUUACUGGGCGUAAAGGGUUCGCAGGCGGCAUGGCAAGUCUGAUGUAAAAGGCGAAAGCUCAACUUUCGUAAGCAUCGGAACUGUCAAGCUUGAGUGAAGGAGAGGCAAGUGGAAUUCCUAGUGUAGCGGUGGAAUGCGUAGAUAUUAGGAGGAAUACCGGUGGCGAAGGCGACUUGCUGGACUUCAACUGACGCUGAGGAACGAAAGCGUGGGUAGCAAACAGGAUUAGAUACCCUAGUAGUCCAGGCGUU
rnacentral:rRNA from 1 species